ensembl:lncRNA
AUAUGUAAAGUUAAAAGCACUGAAACCUUGUCUUGCCUUGCAGGAGCCAUUUAUCAUUCAUUGGUAAAGGAUGAAUUCCUUGCUCUUACCAGGUGUACAUUCAACUCUUGCUCACAGCAUUCAGUGUAUUUUAGUACUUCUAAUACUAUCCUAAAAUGAACAUUCUUUAAGAAUAUUACACUGUUAGUUGAGAGAGGAGAAAACAUCUGCCUCAAUGAUAGUUUUCCUGAAGUGUGUGUUCCUGUUUAGAGUCUUGUUAGCUUAUGAAUUCAAUGGGGAAAAAUAUUUCCUUUCUUUUUACUGUGCAUUCCAGUUGUACACAUAAAACAUUACAAAAAUCAGUAUGUAUUUUAACAACUUUUUGUGACGUGCUAACACAUUUUUAGAGUAAUUAUUGCAUGGUAGAAUUUAUCACUCCAGAACAGAAAGACCUAACUUCAGUUUCAAAUGAAGUUAACUAAUUUAUUUUAUUUACAUUUCUGGGUAAAAACUGGUUCUAUAAAUUAAGAAGUAUAGUCGCUUCUCUAUGGUAAAGAUAUCUUUCUGAAAAGUAAACAAUUCUGUUGAAAUAACUUUACUAAUAUGUAGAUUUUGCACUUUAUUUUUGAGACCUCAUUCAUUUAGUUAUCCUUGAAAAUUUGGACACUAAAAGAACUUGAGAAAGUUACUUGGUAAAUGUGUAGAAACUGAAAAUGGACUCUGUCUUUGGUAACGAAGAGGUAACGUCAAUAUUUUUAAUAGAAAACCUUGACCCUUAGUCACAAAAUAGAGACUCUGGGUCCUAAAGUCCCAUAAUGUAAUGACUGUAAAUAUCCUAGUGUCCAGUCUACAAAGACUUGCUAGGUGAAGAAUAUUAGACUUUCCUAAAGGUCCAGUUUAAUUUUUAUACCUUAAAUUUGGCCCUAUUUUGUCCUUUUUAAUUUGAACCAACAAGGUACUCCCCCUCCCCUCAGGAAUAACUUAUUAUCACUGAGUGGAAUGUUCAUUUUAUGCCAGUUAUUUCAAGUUUUAAAAUACACAGAACAAAAUAUUGUGGAAGGACCUCUUUGUCUUUUUCCCAUCUAAGUUUUUUUUUAUUUGUCCUUAUGUGGAAUAAGUAAAACUAAUUUGUCUAUUAUUCACCAGAGAUGCAGGUGGCGGUCAAGCCAAACAACACUGUGUUAAGAUCAGGUAUCCUGCACAUUCAUUCCAAGGUAAUAGAUUUUCAAAAGGCCUUGGAUUCAAAAAGAUGUCAGAUUAUAAGCCAUCUGAAGACCCAAUUCGGAAAAAAUGUGUGUAGCUAAUGUUUAUAUUGUGGUCUCUCUUAAGACACAUUGGCACUGUAGACUUCGAUCAGUGCAUUUGAAAAUUCUGGCGUAGGUUACAUAUAGAUUUUACAUUUUUAUUGUUUAAUUUGUGCCCACAUAAAUAGAUAUUUCAUCAUGUAAGAUUCCUGUUAUUCUGGAAAAACCUAUUGUUUUGAUCUUGAAUUAUUUUCUGAUUUGGAAUUAUCCUUUCAAAAAACUCUUAAGAUGUCUAGGGCUAAAAAGCACUUCAUGAGAUGCUAAAGAUGACCCACAGGUUGAAAAUGUUACCCUAUCCUGUUAUUUAAAUGUGAACAUUUAUUGUACAUUCAGUGAGUUAUAGUGUUAAUAGUGUUGUGCUACUCAGCAGG